UCAGGCCGGUGAUGACUGAUAUUUUGAUUUGCCUACAUUGUCUGAUAAUCUUAAUGAUUGUGAACAAUCUGCCUGAGGCCUGA